rnacentral:rRNA from 1 species
UACGUAGGGGGCAAGCGUUGUCCGGAUUUACUGGGCGUAAAGAGCGUGUAGGCGGCCAGGUAGGUCUGCUGUGAAAACUCGAGGCUCAACCUCGAGACGUCGGCGGAAACCAUCUGGCUAGAGUCCGGAAGAGGAGAGUGGAAUUCCCGGUGUAGCGGUGAAAUGCGCAGAUAUCGGGAGGAACACCGGUGGCGAAGGCGGGUUCUCUGGGCCUGACC